rnacentral:lncRNA from 1 species
GUCCGUCCCUGCUCGGCUCCUAACAGCGGCAUGAGAGGGGACCCGGUCCAGGACUCCCAGCCUCCACAGCCGCUCUGGACAGCCUCGGCUCGCGCAAAAGACGUCACGACGGCGCCGCCGGAAGUCCCGGCUCCGACCGCAGGAAACGCCCAUCUUCCUUGCUGCCUUUGGCGCAGUACAGAGGCAGCCGGCACAGACUUCUGGAAAUCCAGGGGAUGGGACCCUAGAUCACGUCUAAGAACUGGAGCUGUGGAGUUCCCAUCGUGGCUCAGUGGAAAUGAAUCUGUCUAGCAUCCAUGAGGACAAAGGUUUGGGGAACAUCUGAAUAUUUUGUCUCUACACCUACAUGAUCAGCUCAGACUAUUCCACGGAAAUCUGGGGAUUUAUUCUCCCGGUGGGAGCUUUGGGACGCUGGACCAGCCUGAGGGAAGCAGCUAGGAAGGAAGACCUUGUGCUCGCUGCUCAGUGUGGGGCGAUGCCCCAGCCUCGGCCUCACCUUUGCCCACAGACACUGCUGGAGGCGGCUGCGUUGAAGAGUCCAGUUCAGGUGAGUGCUGCUUCCUCCGCUUAUCAAUGUUCUCUUACCAGCGUCCUGUAUUUAUUUCUCCAAACUUUGGAUUUCCGAAUUUUGAACUAUAACCUGCGUGGAAAAAAAGUCGU